ACGAAAAUGCCUUCCUAAACUAACCCACCCCAUUUCGAAUUGGCGAGACACACUGCGAAGACCACUUUCGCCCUAACCCAGUGCCACCCCGCGUCGCCUCCCUCUGCCUAGUGCCACCCCGCGACUCUGUCCCUUUGUAAAGCGCCACCCCGUGACACUCCUCCAUCGCUCCACCCCUCCCCGAAGCGAGUACAUAUCGGUGCAGAUCUUUAUAAGCAGGAUCUUUAAGGUCAGCUCUAUGUAUUCAAAUCCAUUGUUUUUGUGGUGUUAAUUACUCUAUUGGAUUCCUUUUUGUUCUGUUCAUUAAACCCUAACCUAGACCCUCCCUUUCCGUACUCUUCGCACUCUUCUUUUCCUUCCCCCCUCCUUUGCUCGCACAAACGCAGGUAGACACACCCCACAAACAGAGGCAGAAACAAACGCAUAUCUCGUUUGUCCUUCGGAGUAAUUUGCAAUAUGCUGCACUGAGUGCUUUGAGAAGACUUCCUCUGGAUCCCGGAACUCCCGCAUUUCUUCCUCGUGCUGUACAGGGGUAAGUUCUUCAUUCUUUCACUGAUUGUUUUUUAAGGUGUUGGAUUUCCUGUUGCAAGGUUAUGGUGGGAUACUUGAAGCAGUGACUUAGUGGCUUUUGAUGGAAAUAGAAGUUUAUCUUUGUGGAUUUUGUUCUUUUGUGAAACUCAAGGAUUUGAUUUAUGUUGUGAUUUUCCUCCUUUCUUUUUGGGCCUUCAGAGUUGCACUAGCUUUUUGGGUUCUCUUUAAUAAAUCUUAUUGGAUUUUGUUCUUUGUUUUUGUAAUAAAUUCUUGUAACGUUCCCCCCCCCAAAAAGGAAAAAACUGCAGUAUUACUCAUAAAAAGGAACUAAUUCAAUGCUUGUUUAGUAAGUAAGAUAAGUUCUAUUAAUGAUUAAAAACGCACUAUCGGCUAUCCUUUAAGAACAGGGAGUAUACAUCAAAUACACCAAACUAGAGAAAGCAAAGAUAUCAAGAAAAUAUAGGAAGUUAAAAUUACAGAAAUAUAAGCUUUCCAUCCAAUAAAAAUGUGUAUUAAAAAGAAACUCUGAGUUCCUACAUCGCGCCUAUACAAUUUUUGAAACUCUAAUUGUUUCUUUCUCACCUUAUGUAUACGUAUAUAUAUAAUAUUGAUCUCUCAGAUAUAAAUAUAUAUAUAUAUAUAUAUAUAUAAUAUCUGAAUGAUGUUGUUGUGCUAAUAAUUAUUAGCUCUCUGCCAUUUUGACUUGGAAAGAUACAUCUUUCCAACUCAAGAUAUUUUGUAGUCAGCUUGCUACCUAUAUAUAUAGUGUGGCAAGCUGACUACUAAAUAUUUAGGGUAAAAUCUAACCACCUAACUACGUACAUCGAUCCAUCUAAAGUACUUUAGUAUAAAAUCUUUAUUUCAAACAUGAAUCAUAUACAUACCCUGAAAGGAUUAUCAAUAACAUAGCUGUUACGCUUAAGAAUGUAUGUUACACAACCAAAAGAGAGUCAACAUAAUCAAGCUUUUCCUCACCAUGAUGGUAGGUUUGAAGAAAGAUAUUUUAUUGCUCAAAAUAACUUACAAUUAAAGCUUCCUGCUGCAAACAAAUAGCUAGAAUGAAUACCAUAUUCAGAAAUUUCUUCAACAUCUGUCAAAUGGAGAAAAAUAUCGGGUUUUUGUUUUGGGUCAUUAAGUGACAGCAAAGACUAUAAACAACUGAUUUUCAUGACAAAGAGUUGGUUAUGUGUAGUUAAAAACUUUAUUAGAACUAACUACGAGUAAAACUAGAGAAGAUAAAAAUGAGGACAACACAUGUACUGGUGUUCACUCUGCUUGGAACCACUGCAAUUUAUUAGCCACUGGAUCAUUAGACUAUUGCAUGUAAAUUAGAUCACAUAAAUUACAUGCAGAUAUGGCUGAGAACCAAUGUAUUUUAUUUGUGCAAUCGUCCCAUGCAGUUUGUGGAAAAAAGAGGAACAAAUCUGUACAUUAGCUUAGCUCACAUGCGCCCCAGUUCAACUUAUUCAUGCACUUAAACUUUUUUCAACGCGAUCAGUCUAUCUAUGUGUGACAUUGCAACAACCUCAAUUCAGCAACUCACUUUAUUUAGUUUCUUUUAUAGCAUUUACCAGUUGCAGUUUGUCCCUUGUAUUUCUAUUUCUAUUUCUAUUUUGAUGUUUCAAAACUCUUCUAAAUAGACACAUUUAUUAGCAAAACAGUAAAAGUAACAAUAGCCAUCGCCACCAUAUUCCAAUAGCAGCUUUUACUUCUUCAUUUAGUUUUAAAAUAGUAAGUUUGAUAUAUUUUGUCAAAACCUCUCUUGUUUAAAUAAAGAACUCAUCCUGCUUUUUUACCUUGCUCAUAGAUCAUCAUGAUCAUCAAGAUCAGUUGAUAAUAGAACAUCUAAAACUUUUUAGGCCAAGAAUUUCUUGAGCAUGCUUGCAAGUAAUAAGGAUCAUGCUCUUGUAUUACCCCUAGGUUCUUCAGAAUUGGGGCGAGUUAUAAGGAUCGUGCUAGCUAGGGGGCAUUACAAAAACUCAAUAUCAGAUCUUUUAUUUGAUAAAAUUAUGCGAAGCUGGAUACAGUUAACCAUGUUUUCACUAACAAGCCACAGCAAUUAUUAGAGAAAUCCAAAAACAUAAAUUUAUGGAUUUUCCUUACACUCCGUAUAAAUUAAGGCCUAAAUUAGCAAAUGUUUUUUUUAUUGCCCCUCUUUUCCCUUUUCCUAAUCUCUAGUAUGGUAAAAAGCUAGAAGUCUCACUACUUAUCAGAAUUCCUUAGCUCACUAAAUUCUUUUAGUUAAUCAUAAUCCAGGUGCAUGGAAGUUCUUCCCAUUUUGAUGAUGGCCACCCACAUAUUUUCCUUGGGAGAAAAAGGUUUUUGAAGUUCUGAUAAUAAUUUAUAUCUAUUCUAAAAGGGUCAAAAUGAGAUUUUUGAUAAGUCUCAUAUGAUUUGGGUUUUUCUUGAUCUAUCUAUUACAAAUAAUAUCACCAAUCUCACUUUAGCCAUGAUAAGUAAGAUCAUGCAAUUUGUAACGAUCUUAAGUGCUGGUUCUUUUAAAAUGAUGAGGACUUAUAUCUUUAUAUUGUUAUAAAUAUAUUUUAACAUAUGGUAAAUGAGAUUUCACUAUAUUUGUGAGAUAGAAAUUAUUAUAGUUUAUAAAACUAAAUGGAUUCCAUUAAUUAUAACAUUCACAUAUUCUUUUACUAACAUAUUUUACAGAGUCUUUUUUUGUAUCAUUUAUGCCCCCUUUUGAUUUCCUUAAGCAUCUCUAUGGGGGGGACAAUGUCUCUAAUACUCUCAGGUGUGUUAGAGAGGCUCAAUCCCUCCUUCAUAGAGUUUGAGAAUAUCUUGUAAGCUGUCAAACUCAUUGGGGGUGCAGUCCAAUGACUCCUCAUCACACCCAAUUACAUUAAAGAGUAGUGAAUGGUCUUUUUAAAAGAAAACAAAAAUUAUGCUACGUGGCAGUUUCCUUGUGUUAUGUAGGUGUGCAACUGCAGCCUUUUAACAUUGAAAAUGUUCAGUGAGAAAUAACUAAUUGCUUAAAUUAUAUUGCACUUGUCAAUUUUCAUAUUUUUUUCUUUU